AUUCCUACGGGGCGCAGCAGUGGGGAAUAUUGGGCAAUGGGCGCAAGCCUGACCCAGCAACGCCGCGUGAAGGAAGAAGGCUUUCGGGUUGUAAACUUCUUUUCUCAGGGACGAAGCAAGUGACGGUACCUGAGGAAUAAGCCACGGCUAACUACGUGCCAGCAGCCGCGGUAAUACGUAGGUGGCAAGCGUUAUCCGGAUUUACUGGGUGUAAAGGGCGUGUAGGCGGGGACGCAAGUCAGAUGUGAACACCACGGGCUCAACCUGUGGCCUGCAUUUGCAACGUUGUUUCUUUAGUACU
rnacentral:rRNA from 1 species